AGCCAUAUCACGUUGAAACACCGGUUCUCGUACGAUCACCGAAGUUAAGCAACGUUGAACCUGGUCAGUACCAAGAUGUGUGAUCGCUUAGAAAUAUCAGGUGUUGUAAG